UUGCAAUGCUGCUGUUACAUUCAAGUCUAGUAUUUAUCCCGAGUGUUGCCAAAGCACAUCAACAGGAAUUGACAUCGAUAACUAAGAAGUGAAGUCAUAUUGCUAAGUGCUCAUACCCAACAUAUACAUGUUCAGGACGUUCUUAUGUCCUUCCUACUAUGAUUCGUCCGUUUGGUUACAUAAGUUGCCAAAUAACAAAGGAAAGUGCAUUCGCAUUAUUAGCAGAGUGGAUGCUAUUGCGCAAAUAUCAGAAAAAUUCUUAUUUUAAUGGUGAUAAAUUUGACUGUAUGAAAAUCAGUAUCCACAACGUCGCCCUUGAUUGAACACCUUUCGUGUCGAAAUGAAAAAAUGAAAAUUUAUAUCUUUUAGAAAACCGGAUGCAGGAAGUCUCACUCUAUUGACAAGUUUCUAGUGGUCAAUUAACAAACAUUAAAAUUAAUUUAACAGGUUGCUGCAGCAGAAAACGUAUGUGUAGCCGGAGAUUGCGAUACAUAGUAUACACAUAUGUAAGUGUAAGCUGAAUACAAUGAAGCUGUUAUUGGUUAUAUUGUUGGGCCAAGAACAAUUUCCUUGCGCAGUUUAUGACUCAGUUUAUAAAUAAAGAAUAUAUACCUCAUGCAACUUUAAACAUUUAAGUGAAAGUCCCUGUAUUUCUUUGAUUAAACAUGACUUGUUAGAGAUCAUCGGAUAUAGCUGCUUGAGUAUCUUUACUGACAGUUUA